rnacentral:rRNA from 1 species
CUGGCGGCAUGCCUAACACAUGCAAGUCGAACGGGGGUAGGCAAUACCCUAGUGGCGAACGGGUGAGUAACACAUAAGCAAUCUGCCCUUCACAGGGGGAUAACAGCGGGAAACUGCUGCUAAUACCGCAUAAGACCACGGUACCGCAUGGUACAGGGGUAAAAACGAAUCAGUGGUGAAGGAUGAGCUUAUGUCCCAUUAGCUAGUUGGUGAGAUAACAGCCCACCAAGGCGACGAUGGGUAGCCGACCUGAGAGGGUGAUCGGCCACACUGGAACUGAGACACGGUCCAGACUCCUACGGGAGGCAGCAGUGGGGAAUAUUGGGCAAUGGAGGAAAAACCUCUUACCCAGCAAUGCCGCGUGAGUGAAGAAGGUCUUCGGAUUGUAAAGCUCUUUGAUUGGGGACGAAGAAAGUGACGGUACCCAAAGAACAAGCCCCGGCUAACUACGUGCCAGCCGCUGC